rnacentral:sRNA from 1 species
CUUGGUCAUUUAGAGGAAGUAAAAGUCGUAACAAGGUUUCCGUAGGUGAACCUGCGGAAGGAUCAUUAAAGUUUGCUUAAUUGCAUCACACAUGUUUUUAUAGAGAACUUGCUUGCAAGAACACUAAUAAUUUACUGAGUCAACAUGAAAAAAAUAUCAAAACUUUCAACAACGGAUCUCUUGGUUCUCGCAUCGAUGAAGAACGCAGCGAAAUGCGAUACGUAAUAUGAAUUGCAGAUUUUCGUGAAUCAUCGAAUCUUUGAACGCACAUUGCGCCCUGUGGUAUUCCACAGGGCAUGCCUGUUUGAGCGUCAUUUCUCCCUCAAACCUGUGGUUUGGCGUUGAGUGAUACUCGGUUUACUUGAAAAAUAUGAAAAGCAUAACUAUUAGGUUUUACCAACUCGUUAUACUAAUCUACAAGUUUGACCUCAAAUCAGGUAGGACUACCCGCUGAACUUAAGCAUAUCAAUAAGCGGAGGAAAAGAAACCAACCGGGAUUGCCUCAGUAACGGCGAGUGAAGCGGCAAAAGCUCAAAUUUGAAAUCUGGCCUUCUGGUCCGAAUUGUAAUUUGUAGAGGAUGCUUUUGGUUAGGUACCUUUCGAGUUCCUUGGAACAGGACGCCUUAGAGGGUGAGAGCCCCGUACGAUUGGAUACCGAGCCUCUGUAAAGCUCCUUCGACGAGUCGAGUUGUUUGGGAAU